UUCAAAGUGCCUUCCUAUAUGUCAGAUCACAGCCCAGCCUUGAAGAAGGUGGAGCAGACCAGGUUUCAUCCUCAGGUGGGAGAUGAAAUAACCCAAGUUCAGAGAGGUGCGGUGAUUUCCCAAGGCUGCACAGCUAUUAGUGGGAAAGACAGGAGGGGUGCCUGGAUCUAACUUUCGUUUCACACCUGUCUGGAAUUCCACAGCCCACUAUUGGAAUAUUCACCUAUUUUAGAACUGUCUUUCAUCCAAACCAGGAGCCCUGGAUUUCAACACUAGCCCUUCAAUUCGAUGACAGCUAGAGACCAGGGCCAAAGGCAGCUUUCACAGAGAUGAUGGUUCUCUUUCCCUGCCCCUUCCAGCAUAAGAAAUGGAGCUUGGCAAAUCUGACCCCCUCUGCAGUGCUGUUUGGGUUACCAGAUCUCUGCAGGUUCUCCUUCUGAGUGUCUGAGAGGCUGUCUAAGCUCAGGCUGCUCUAACAGAAUACCGUAGACUCGGUGGCUUAGAAAGUAUAGGCGUUUAUCUCUCUCAGGUCUGGAGGCCGGGAAGUCCAAGAUCAGGUUGAUGGCAGAUUUGGCUCCUGGUGGAAGAUCCAGCUCCUGGCUUGCAGGCGCCGGGCUGCCUAGCUGUGUCCUCAGAUGGCGUCAAGAGAAAGCUCUGCUCAGCCUCUUCAGACCCUAAUCCCACGAUGGGGUCUCCACCCUCCAGACCUUAUCAUAAACCUGAUGAAGCCCCGGAGACCCCACCUUCUAAUGCCAACCACACCGAGGAGUAGGGCCUCAAUGUAUGAAUUGCGGGGUGGGGGGGGGGGACCCAUUUGGCCCAUGAGGGAAGAUGCCAGUUCUUGACUCCACAAGCUGCAGAGCAUAGGGCCUGGGUCUCCCUGUGCCUAAAGUGUUUGGUGGAGUCAGCGUUGCCACCCAAGGGAAAGAAAACGAAGCCUGCAGUACUGAGCCCGAAUGCUGCUGGCUGGCUAGCAGCCAGAAAUGGGGGGAAUUGGAGCGCUGUGUCUUUAAGAAGGAAGAGGGCACAUCUUCGGGGGUGGAGCCCGGCCCCAUUAUCCAAGGGCUUGGAAGUUGCUAGGACCUGCCUUUGAGGAGACCAGGCCUUGUGGGUCUGGUUUGCAGCUCUGGCACCACUCAGGGCCCUGCUCCCCUGCUGCCACACGACUCAGCCUUGGCACCGAACCAAACCUGAUGGAAAAAUUAGCCAUCUGGAGCAUUGUCCCUCUCGUGGCAGGAAGAAAAUGACAAGGCAAAUGGUGCCCUGACUUCCAGAACUCAGCACUAAAGUGACCAACAUCACUUCUUUGACUAAAGCAAGUAAUAUAGCUAUUCCUAAGUUCAAUGGCAUUGGAAUACAUCCUCCACAGAGAGGAACGUGCCAGGAAAGAAACUGAAACGUUUAGUGAAUGAGAACACAUCUCUACCAUCUCCUCCUAGGAUGACUUCUUUCCCAGAGAUUUAUCACAUCACUCGCAUACCCAGGCCGGCUGAUAUUUUAGGAGCGUGAAUCAGAGUGUCUGGCAUGGCUUCCUCUGCAGCCGAGCUCGUCUGCAAGCAUGAUGAAGUCGGGAGGGGGAAGAACCCCACUUAUCAGGGAGGAAAUUUGUGUCAGUGACAAGUCUGCCUGGCAACAGCGCUACGAAAGAGACACGCUAGGCCCCAACAUCGGGACCAAAAUCUUCACGCCGCUGGAGAGCGUCACGCUAAGCAGUUUUCUCCUUGACACGCCCCCUAGACUAUCAGUGGCCACACACUGGAGACCGGCAGAGUAGGACUGUAGAAGGAGUCUGGGCAUCCGUGACCCUGCGGGACCCUUGCGUCAACCUUGGACAGGCCACCUCUUGUUGCUUCCUGCCAUGUCAGAAACCUUCUCCUGGAUCUUCAGUCGCAGUGUAUCUGAAGCCACACCACCGUGUAUCCCCGGCCCCCACCCAUGCGGCAGCACGUCACCUUCCAAUAGAGGGCACAACUGUGGGUCCAGGAAUCUGAACAGGAAGACU